AUUGAACGCUGGCGGCAUGCCUUACACAUGCAAGUCGAACGGCAGCACGGGAGCAAUCCUGGUGGCGAGUGGCGAACGGGUGAGUAAUAUAUCGGAACGUGCCCAGUCGUGGGGAUAACGUAGCGAAAGCUACGCUAAUACCGCAUACGAUCUAUGGAUGAAAGCGGGGGAUCGCAAGACCUCGCGCGAUUGGAGCGGCCGAUAUCAGAUUAGGUAGUUGGUGAGGUAAAGGCUCACCAAGCCGACGAUCUGUAGCUGGUCUGAGAGGACGACCAGCCACACUGGGACUGAGACACGGCCCAGACUCCUACGGAGGCAGCAGUGGGGAAUUUUGGGACAAUGGGCGCAAGCCUGAUCCAGCAAUGCCGCGUGCAGGAUGAAGGCCUUCGGUGGUAACUAGCUUUGUACGG
rnacentral:rRNA from 1 species